rnacentral:rRNA from 1 species
UUAUAAGAUCCCUCAAAGAUGAUGAGGUUAAUAGGUUCGAGGUGGAAGUACAGUAAUGUAUGGAGCUGACGAAUACUAAUCGAUCGAAGACUUAAUCAAAUU